rnacentral:lncRNA from 1 species
GACUGUGUGGGGUGUAGCAGAAAGGAUGCAGACUACUGGCUCUCAGAGGAUUGCUACCUGUGGUCAUGAAUUAAAAUGGAUAUCCAACUGUUCCAUGAGGCAACGAAUGGGGAUUUUACAUAUUAAAUCAGCAUUGUCUGCUGGAGCUCUCUGCUACCUGGGAAGGCUCUGCAUUUGGGCUGUCAAAGCCACAAGCUCAGACAAUGAAGAUGGCAAACUGAAGGGCAAAAAACUUCAUCUUUCAUGAGUGCAAUUUCAAACUUGGUGCCAACGAGAGACAUCUUCCCUGGACUCAAAUGCGCGAAGCCUGAACAGGACAUCUUGAGUGUUAGCUUCUCUGGGAUGGCUGCGGUGUGCAGCACAUUUUUGUUAAGGUGUUAUUCAAAGUUUCUGAUUAACAUAAGUUUUUCUUAAAAUUAUACAAAAACAUAAUACCAUGAUUAUGGAAAUAAAAAGCCACCCACAAGCUUACUAUCUUUACAAA